rnacentral:rRNA from 1 species
CGAAGGGAGCGAGCGUUGUUCGGAAUCACUGGGCUUAAGGCGUGCGUAGGUGGAUUGGUAAGUAAGGAGUGAAAUCCCAGGGCUUAACCCUGGAACUGCUCUUUAGACUGCCUGUCUGGAAUUCGGUAGAGGUUGGUGGAACUCCCAGUGUAGAGGUGAAAUUCGCAGAUAUUGGGAAGAACACCGGUGGCGAAGGCGACCAACUGGACCGACAUUGACACUGAGGCACGAAAGCGUGGGUAGCAAACAGGAUUAGACACCCUGGUAGUCCACGCCGUAAACCAUGUUUGCUAGCUGUUGGAGUCCUUAGGGCUUCGGCGGCGGAGGGAAACCAUUAAGCAAACCGCCUGGGGUGUACGGCCGCAAGGUUA